CAGCUGAGCUUAAUAGAGUACUUAUUGGUCCACAGGCUGCUUCAGAUUGGUUAUAUGUAUAUCCAAAAGGAAUUCACGAUCUUGUGCUCUACACAAAGGAAAAAUAAAAUGAUCCACUCAUUUAUAUUACUGAGAGUGGUGUAUCAGAGUUGAAUAAUCCAAAACUAUCACUUGAAGAGGCCCUUCAUGAUACCAAUAGAAUUGACUACUACCAUCGUCACCU